rnacentral:tRNA from 1 species
GGGCGGUUAGUUCAGUUGGCUAGAACGCAUGCUCGACACGCAUGAGGUCAGAGGUUCAAGUCCUCUACCGCCCACCA